rnacentral:rRNA from 1 species
UACGUAGGGGGCAAGCGUUGUCCGGAAUCAUUGGGCGUAAAGAGCGUGUAGGCGGUCCGGUAAGUCGGCUGUGAAAGUCCAAGGCUCAACCUUGGGAUGCCGGUCGAUACUGCCGGACUAGAGUUCGGAAGAGGCGAGUGGAAUUCCCGGUGUAGCGGUGAAAUGCGCAGAUAUCGGGAGGAACACCUAUGGCGAAGGCAGCUCGCUGGGACGUUACUGACGCUGAGACGCGAAAGCUUGGGGAGCAAACAGG